rnacentral:rRNA from 1 species
GUGGGGAAUUUUGGACAAUGGGCGCAAGCCUGAUCCAGCAAUGCCGCGUGCAGGAAGAAGGCCUUCGGGUUGUAAACUGCUUUUGUACGGAACGAAACGGUCCUGGUUAAUACCUGGGGCUAAUGACGGUACCGUAAGAAUAAGCACCGGCUAACUACGUGCCAGCAGCCGCGGUAAUACGUAGGGUGCGAGCGUUAAUCGGAAUUACUGGGCGUAAAGCGUGCGCAGGCGGUGCUGUAAGACAGGCGUGAAAUCCCCGGGCUCAACCUGGGAAUUGCGCUUGUGACUGCAGUGCUGGAGUACGGCAGAGGGGGAUGGAAUUCCGCGUGUAGCAGUGAAAUGCGUGGAUAUGCGGAGGAACACCGAUGGCGAAGGCAGUCCCCUGGGCCUGUACUGACGCUCAUGCACGAAAGCGUGGGGAGCAAACAGGAUUAGAUACCCGAGUAGUCC